GAUGAAGAACGUAGCGAAAUGCGAUAACUAAUGUGAAUUGCAGAAUUCCGUGAAUCAUCGAGUCUUUGAACGCACAUUGCGCCCCCUGGUAUUCCGGGGGGCAUGCCUGUCCGAGCGUCAUUGCUGCCCAUCAAGCACGGCUUGUGUGUUGGGUCCUCGUCCCCCCCGGGGGACGUGCCCGAAAGGCAGCGGCGGCACCGCGUCCGGUCCUCGAGCGUAUGGGGCUUUGUCACCCGCUCUGCAGGCCCGGCCGGCGCUGGCCGACGCGAAAGCAACCAUUUUUUCUCCAGGUUGACCUCGGAUCAGGUAGGGAUACCCGCUGAACUUAAGCAUAUCAAUAACGGAGGA
rnacentral:misc_RNA from 1 species